rnacentral:tRNA from 1 species
AAAGUUUUAUUAUAAAGAGUAUAUUUUGUUGUCGAUGAAAAGGUUUGAAGCUUUG